CCAGUGAACAACUGGGACCGGUUUGCGUAUCCAGAAGCGGCAUGCUGCUAUCAUGAAGCCUAAAAUAUAUCGCACUAUCUUGGGAACUGGGGGAGGGCAGAAUUUGGAAGGACCUUGAAGUCCUUAGUUGGAGCUUAAUGACCUGUGAGGAUACCAGUUAAAAAUUUAAGAGAAAGUAGGGUAAGACUUUCUCAGAAUUGAUAGAAAGAGGAUUUUGCCUUCGGUGACAUGAAGAACAGGCAUACGCAUGCUCGACUGUGGGAAUGUGGGAAGAAUGUGGGGAGUGCCAGUUGGAGCAGUGUGCAAGAUUUGCUGUCAGCACUUGGAUCACUCGGGCUUUUAAUUUUAGACAUCACGGUGCUCCACGUUCCACAGCGAUUGGCCGUGCAGCAGCCGGGAUCUGGUACAGGAGGAGAAAGAGCAACUUCUCCAAGUGAAUACAAGUACGAACCCUUCCCUUGUGUAUUAAUAGUUUGGAUUUGUUGAAACGGAGUUAAUAGAUUGCAUAACAGAAGAAAGCUCUGUGCCUAAGAUUCAGAGGCUCAGAGCUGUUGUUUUAACUGACACUGGCUUGCCCUUCCAGGAAGCCUGGGGAGAGAGCGACGAGCGAGAGUACUGCCUGGAGACCACCGCCCAAGUUGAGGAGAAAAAGCAAAUCCCAAGGCUGACUCCACUCUUACUCAUCUGGACAGGGGAUAUAUGUAUUAUAAGCAAGACAUAACUGAACCCUCAAAACCAGUUCUCUCUUUUUCAACAUCAUUGAGCUAUUUAGCAGGACAGCAAGGGAACAAUCCUCUCCUGGAAGACUUGGUACUCAUUACCGGAUUGUCUCCUGACAGCCCAGAAUACUCCCCUAGACUCUCCUCCUGAGCGAUUCCUUUGCUUAGCCCCAGGCUUCCAGAACUCCACCAUGUUCUUUAAUGGCUUACAGGUGCCUGCUAUGUGCCAAAGACUGGAAGAGACCGUGGUAGAAAUAAAAGAAGAUGGCCAGUGUCUACUUGCCCUCUAUCUGUGCUGGGAGACGGUCUUAACUAGCAUAUCGCUAGCAUCUUUAAAUGGUCUAGACCUUCAGGGUUUCACCCCAACAAGUCCCAAUUUGUUUUCAGUUGUGAGACUUGAACCCAGAUCUUUGUAUACAACAGGCAGAUGCCUUGCCUCUCAGCUACAGUUCCAGCCCCUUACCCAGUCACUUGCCAGCUUCAGGCAAAAGUACCCAAGCAGUGUGAUGCCAGCUCACACUUUGUGUACGUUAAUGUUCCCGAUGGUGGUGGCACUCCGUUGGUUGCAGAAUGAAUGGACAUGGUGCAGAGCUGGGGAGAGCGGUUGGCGUAUUUAGAAAUUGCAUCUAUCAGGUGUUUUCAUAGAAUUUGCUCUUUAGUGAAGUUAGAGAUACAGAGGAUCCCAAAAUUCAUCUGCCCAAGGGGACAGAAGGUUGGAAAGGGUGCCCUGCAGCAAGCAUCUCCAAGCUAAGAGCUUCACCCUGCGUCCUUGUCACAGUCCGAGGCCAGGAUGAUUUUCCAGUGUUCACGGUGGCCAGGAAGAGAAAGCAAAGGCUCAUGUGGGGCAGGAGAGCAGCACUCCAUGAGCCCUCCCAAGGCCAUGAACACUCAGCUGAUAUACUCAGAUCAAUUUAAAAACUACCAUACAGCAACUGUGGACUGGCAUGUUUCUGAUGUUACCAUGGUAUGGUUCUUAAUGGCAGGAGAUUGGAAACAACCGAAUGUCUAUCAACAGUGAAAUGAAUGAAUGAAUCAACUGGUCCAUCUUACAUAAGUAAUGCGCCACCUAAAUGAGCAGUAAGAGACCUCCUCUACAUGCUGGCCUAAAACAGGCUUCGUGGCUUGGGGCUAAAUGAAAAAACUGGGUAUAGUAUGCAUAUAUACAUGUGCAUAUACAUAUGUAUGUAUAUAUAUGUUCAUAUUUAGUUUAUAUGCAUAUCCAAGCACACAUGCAUCUGUUUGCAUAUGAAAAGAGUGUAUCUGGAAGCAUGCACACAUAAAUGCAUUUACGCAGUAGGGAGAUAAGCUGGUAGCGUUGGUUGCCCCCGGGAAAGGCACUUGUCUGGCAGUGAAUGCACUGUUUUACUGAACAGAAGCUUUCCCCUUUUCUGAGCCUUGGUUAUUUCUCCGAAUACCAGAAACUCCCAAAGACUUUUGGCCAUGUAGCGAUAGACUAAGAAGGCAGGUCUUGUGGGACUCUCUCUGAGUCUGGAACACCUUGAGAGUUCACACAGUCUGGGCUCACGUUCUUGCUUGCCUCACGUUACUGUUCCAGUUUACUUGGUGGUGGUGGUUGUUAGACAGAGUUUCCCUGUGUAGCCCAGGUCUACCUCAGGUUAUGAACUUCCUUACUCCACUUGCUUAAAUGCCCUGACUCUUCUUUCUUUUCUGUCUUCCUUUUUUCUUUCCUCCUUUCCUUCUUUUCUUUUCUUCUUUCCUUCCCUCCUCCCUUCCUCUCUCCCUCCCUCCCUCCCUUCCUCUCUCCCUCCCUCCCUCCCUCCCUUCCUUCCUUCUUUCCUUCCUUCCUUCCCUCCUCCCUUCCUCUCUCCCUCCCUCCCUCCCUUCCUUCCUUCCUUCCUUCCUUCCUUCCCUCCUCCCUCCCUCCCUUCCUUCCUUCCUUCCUUCCUUCCUUCCUUCCUUCCUUCCUUCCUCCCUUCUUCUCUCUCUCCAUCCCUCCCUCCCUCCCUCCCUCCCUCCCUCCCUUCCUCCCUUCCUUCCUUCCCUCCUCCCUUCUCUCCCUCCCUCCCUCCCUUCCUUCCUUCCUUCCCUCCUCCCUUCUCUCCCUCCCUCCCUCCCUCCCUUCCUCCCUCCCUCCCUCCCUCCCUCCCUCCCUCCCUUCCUUCCUUCCUUUCCUUUUCUUUGAGACAAGGUCUCUCCAAAUAGCCCUAGCUGUCUUGGACUCACUCUGUAGACCAGGCUGGCCUCAAACUCACAGAGCUCCACCUGCCUCUGCCUCCUGAGUGCUGGGAUUAAGGGUGUGCACCAAGACACCAUAUCGGAGUUUGCUCUUUGUACUUUAACUUGGACUUCAGCAAAUUCAAGUCUGAUCUCAGGAAUCUUGUGUAGCCUGUAUGGAUCCUGCAGGGUUAAUUGAAGCCCUACUUGGUUGCACGGUAGCUCUCGGGUAUAUCCUGGUCUCUAAGGCAGCAUACAUACAAUUCCAGGAGUUCAGGAGGGAUGGUCCUGUUAUUUCAUAUAUACAAUUCCAGGAGUCCUCUGCUGGGGAAGGAAGGAGGUCACAAGGCAGCUGUUAUAACAUUAUCUUGAACUGUUGCCAUCCCAGCAGUAACCUCCUUAACUGCCUCGCUUUUCCAAAGGGCAAUUUGGGGAAAAAAAAUCUAUGUAGUGGAUGAAGCUGCAAACAUCAGACUAUAACUCACGCCUCUCAGGGCUGUUCCCAUUCCUGGAAGACUUUUCUAGUGGUCUACUGCUAUGCGUCGAACCUGGCCAGCCUGAACCUCGAAACUAGCAAUGGAUUACGCCUUUCUGGGCUGUAACGAUGUGUGCCUGAAGGCAAGUCUACCCAGCCUAGUUCAGCAUCCUCUUCCCCUUCUCUUUAGUGAAAGGUCUCAGAUUGCCUGUAGUUUACUUGAUUCAGUUUCUCUCUUCUUUGGGUACAAUAUAUGACGACCAGGGGCAGCUGUUUGCCAAGGCACAGCAUGCUUUUCUCAGUCUUCACAUGGUCAGGGGCUACCUUAGGCCUUGUAAACAUUGAUGCCACCUUCGACUACAAGCCUAGGUUGCUGUCUGCUGCUCUCUGGGGUGGUUAGAUCUUUUCUGUGCCUUGACACCUUGUAUACUGUCAAGGAUCCAAGAGGAAGCUGUAUCACAAAUGAUGAGACUUUGAAGAAAGAUCCUUCUUGGACCCGUGGACAGGGUUAAAGGUACUGAGGUUAAAUGGAGACUGAGGGAAAUGGCAGGAGAAGACUUUGUAAGUCCCUGGCCUGGAGGAACAGAGGGGAAUUGGAGUAAGAGGAGCUUGAGCCAAGGGAAGAGGCCUCCCUCUGACUCCACACACACAAGUCAAGGCAAGAUACAACCGGUGCCAAACCAUGGAAUGGAAGCAGGGUGGGGUGGGUGGGGUGAAAAGGAUGGGGUUGGGGUAUUCCUACCUCUCUUUCACCAUGAAUUUUACGACUCUGCUAGUGCCUCCCAUUGACCAAACAUAACCAGGAGUCAGAAAGACUCGGGGGCGGGGUUGGGGAGUUCAGCAAGGUUGUUGCAAGGAGAGCAUCCUGGGGCAGCUAGAGGGACAGCAUACUGGUGGCAAAUGGGUCAGUAGUCAGAGGCAAUGGAGACCUAACACACUUACCUAAAGACUUCCAGGGCCUCAGUGGGCUCAUUACUGAAGCCAGAAGCAUGGGGCACAUGGAUUCUUUUGGGUUUAUCAUGGGAUGAGCAUGGGGUAAGACAAUGCUGUCAUUGUCUUGCCUUUUGAAUAUCUCCUAUUGGCUGCCAGUCCUUCUGAGGAAUCUUUCUAUUGCCCGAUCCUGUGAGCAGCCUACUUAUCUUCUGCUUUAAAAAAAAUUUAAAUUCUUUUCCCUCAUAUUUUAAAUUUUGAAUUAAUAAUAAUAAAAAAAAUCCCUCAAGGUUGACAAGGACUGGGGUUGACAGUAACUAUGGCUUUUAGAAAUCCCUGUUGUCCAUUUAAAUUUUAAUGUUUCUAUCAUUUGUUCCUCAGCGUAAAUUAACAGCCAUGGCAGCGUGUGGGGUUUCUUUUCUAAAGUCGAGACUUUAAAUUUAAUUCAAUCGCGGAGAUUUACGGCACUUCUGUAUUUCACACGGCAGAAUCAAUAAUGUGACUGAAGUGAAGAAGAUAAAAAUUUAUGGUAUCUUGCAAUUUAAUGGUUGAAAAGAUGCAAUUGGAGAGAUCAUAAAUUGUGAAGGAGUUUAUGCUUCAUUGCUCCUGAUUCAGUGCUUGCUGUUGGGACUUGAUUUGUGGCUAUUCACACGGUGUGAUUAAUGGUGUGAUCGAUGCUUGCUGCAGCGCGGUAAAGCAGUUGUAAUGCUCUUCAUUAGAAUAAAUAAAAUAAAUUGACUGAAGCUUUAUAAAAA